AAUUCAAUCUGGUCUUGGCCAAGAAGCCAUCCAUGAAGAUAAACACUGAGACCUGAGCCAUAUGAUCAACCAAUACCUCAUUGUGAUGUACCGGGAAUCCAUCUUUCUGAUUAGCUCUGCUCGCAUCUUGAUAGUCUAUUCACACCUUCUCUCCUUCUCAUCCUUUGUCGGCCUCAGCUUUUGCUUUCUAACCUCGGCGGAGCUUGGAGUAACAAUCUUGAAUCGCUCCUCGUGCGGUUGAAUCACCUUCUCCUCUUGUUUCAAUGACCUGGCUAAUUCCAACAAAUCACAAUCUUCUUCGCCUUUUUCUCUGGCAUGAUAGAUCGAAUUGUCGAAGUCAUACAGAGGUGUAACCAAAUCGUUAUCGGUGAGAUCAGGAGGGUA
rnacentral:lncRNA from 1 species